rnacentral:rRNA from 1 species
UAUUGGACAAUGGGGGGAACCCUGAUCCAGCGACGCCGCGUGCGUGAAGAAGUAUCUCGGUAUGUAAAGCUCUAUCAGCAGGGAAGAAGAAAUGACGGUGCCUGAGUAAGAAGCCCCGGCUAACUACGUGCAAGCAGUCGCGGUAAUACGUAGGGGGCAAGCGUUACCCGGAAUUACUGGGUGUAAAGGGAGCGUAGACGGUGAUGUAAGUCUGGAGUGAAAGGCGGGGGCCCAACCCCCGGACUGCUCCGGAAACUAUGUGACUGGAGUGCAGGAGAGGUGAGCGGAAUUCCUAGUGUAGCGGUGAAAUGCGUAGAUAUUAGGAGGCACACCAGUGGCGAAGGCGGCUCACUGGACUGUAACUGACGUUGAGGCUCGAAAGCGUGGGGAGCAAACAGG